UGGGGAAUAUUGGACAAUGGGCGAAAGCCUGAUCCAGCCAUGCCGCGUGUGUGAAGAAGGUCUUCGGAUUGUAAAGCACUUUAAGUUGGGAGGAAGGGCAGUAAGCGAAUACCUUGCUGUUUUGACGUUACCGACAGAAUAAGCACCGGCUAACUCUGUGCCAGCAGCCGCGGUAAUACAGAGGGUGCAAGCGAUAAUCGGAAUUACUGGGCGUAAAGCGCGCGUAGGUGGUUCGUUAAGUUGAAUGUGAAAGCCCCGGGCUCAACCUGGGAACUGCGUCCACGACUGGCGGGAUAGAGGAGGGCAGAGAGUGGUGGAAUUGCCUGUGUAGCGGUGAUAUGCGUAGCUAUAGGAAGGAACACCAGUGGCGACGGCGACAACCUGAGCUCAUACUAACACUGGGGAGCGAAAGCGUAGGGGGCAAACAGG
rnacentral:rRNA from 1 species